rnacentral:rRNA from 1 species
UGGGUUUAAAGGGNAGCGCAGGCGGGUGCUUAAGCGUGCUGUGAAANGUACCGGCUUCAACCGGUGACGUGCAGCGCGAAACUGGGUGCCUUGAGUGAGUGCGAGGUAUGCGGAAUUCGUGGUGUAGCGGUGAAAUGCUUAGAUAUCACGAAGAAACCCCGAUUGCGAAGGCAGCUGACGAGUCCUUUACUGACGCUAAAGCUCGAAGGUGCGGGUAUCGAACAGGAUUAGAUACCCCUGGUAGUCCCGCACGGUAAACGAUGGAUGCCCGCUGUCGGCGACAGACUGUCGGCGGCCAAGCGAAAGCGUUAAGCAUCCCACCUGGGGAGUACGUUCGCAAGAAUGAAACU